rnacentral:lncRNA from 1 species
CACACCUCGAUCCAUGAUAGUUGACAUAAAAUGCAAUACCACGAUGUAUGCAGCAUGGAGUCCGAUUACCGCUCGAUCGGCUAAGUCAUAUCACCAUAAUGCCAUGUGGAUCGACAUGGGAAGUCAGACUGAUGCUAGCAAUAAAUUCAUCCAAAUUAAGGGAAAUAAUAUAACGACGAUUCACCCCUCAAUAACCUCCUAUACUGACACAUGUAAUUUCGGAUGUAGGCCUAUAUAACCUAUACCUUCCGGUUAUGUAAUAAUACUCUCAAAAAAAUAUUAUAUAAAGAUAAUACUCAUCUCAUAUACCUUUAAAAAAUCUUUUCAUUUCCUUGGCACUUUUGGCCACACAUGUAAAUCUUCAUUCUUCGCACGAUGGCCGCAUUUUAUAUUCCAUCCUUUCAUUCCUUUACUUUCAAGGAUCACUAUAAAAUCCCAAUAUGUAGAACAUUUGGAAAUCAUGGCAUCAAAAGCAUGCGUAAAAAGAGUUUUAAGCACAUUGAAUUUCUUCCAAAAGGAGAGCAUAGUGAUUUGCAAUUGAAACAUGAGUUUAAAUCAUAUCAUUUGAUGCAUCAAACAAGCUUGAAACAUUUUUAAUAAGUAUAGCAUGGCAAUAGCAAAUAGGGAAUGUGUAUAGGUUCAUGAGCAUUUUUUAAUUCAACCUUUUUAAAGCACUUCAAUUAUGAAGAUUCGUGGUAUAAAAAUUAUUACUUCAUUUUCAUGUGCAUAUGACCAUCAAAAGAAAUUUCUAAACAUUUCCAAGAAAGGGAGCAGUCAUUGGCAAUUAAGACAUAACUAUAAAUCUCAUGAACAUUUGGAAUUCAACCAUCAGAAGCAAUCCAGAAUAAUGGAAAUAGCAACUAGGACAACCAUGCUUGGAAUUCAUACGGGAAAUCAUGGAAUCCGAUUCUAUAGAAGGCAUUUAGGCAACAUGCCUCGAUGGAGAUAUUUAGUGAUACUAAAACCUCUCACUACUCUUAUAACUUCAAUCGACAUCAAUACAUUUCAAUUGGACCAAUAUUAGUAAAAAUUUCUAGGUUUUAGGUUUUUUGGCAUUCUAUCGAUCACCUAGAGUGCAUAGCAUCUACUACCUCUAGUAAUGGUGUUUCUUCAUCUAACAAUCCCUCCUUCUCACUAACAAGAGAUACUACAAUAUCCUUUGUCCACUAACUGACUUCUUUAGCACCAUUAUAACCAUCAAUGAACUCAUAUCCACUAAAUUUUACUAAUUAUCUCAUUACAAAAUCUCUACAAUACCAAAAAAUCUAGGUUAAGAACUUAUGGCUUCCAAUCACCAUCCCAUAAGUGCUAAUACUAAUUUCUUGAUCAUACCUUCACUAACAAUCCAUGCAUGUAGGUUUAAUGGUGAAAUAUUAUCUCUUGUACACCAAAUCUUGAAAACCUGUUGGGGUGUUCUUGGAUUUUGAAGAAAUCCUAUGGAAUCCAAUACAAAACCUUGUUGUAACAAGCGAUUGAGAAGUGAAAUUAUCAUAAAAAGACAGUUAAAAACUCACCUUAAGUUUGUACUGGAAGCCUUGGCCGGAUGGGUGAUGAAGAGAAGGGCUCUAGUCUUGAAAUCCUUUUAUUUCUCUCUCCCCGCUUAGGUAUUAAUAGGUCCAGGUAUAAUAUUUUUACACUGGUGUUAUAACGUGCUACAAGGCUUUAGCUCACUGGUUUGCUAAAAUUUCAGCUUCCCUCAUGUGCUAUAGCUGGGCUAUGGGGAGAUAGUUCAUUGUAUUUUCUUUUUAUUGCUUUGAAAUUUAUAUCCAAGUGUUCCCCAUUAAUAUAACACUAAAAGAUUAAUAAAAUAAUUAUCCCAAGUAUCCAAAUAACUUUAUUCACUCCAGUAAUUUCUCGUGUAGUUUAGGUCUAAAUUAAAUUGUAUUUCUAAGCUCAAAAUUGCUCGAAUUACCUAUAAAAAUUCACGGGGCCGUACAUGCUCCCCCUCUUAGGAUCAAUCAUCCUCGAAUGAGGGUUAGAGUCCAGUCUAAACUCCAAGAAUAAUUUUGUUCUUCACUUAAUCACCUUCAUACGCCUCUUGUUGCUUAUAAUUAAUCACCAAUGCCUCAAAAUUUGGCUAACUCUCCAGAUUUUCAAAAAUUCCACUAGAGUUUUCCCUGUAAUUGGACCUAUCCACCUGGUUGAGAGCCCCAGAAAUCAAUCAUUAACAACAUAUUUCUAAAACAACAUUGCACAAUAGACAUGAAAACAAUACCAACCAUGACAUCACAGGCAUUAUAUUACCAAAAUGGGGAAUUUGCAUAAAAUGUAUAGGUUUGAACAUAACUUAUAGAGAGUAAGCUCCUAACAUGAUUUUAAAACAAAACAAUAUGGUUACAUAAACAAGCGAGGGUAUUUCUUUUUCAUCUCUUCCUCGGCCUCCCAGGUGGCCUCUUCAACUUAUUGGGUCCGCCAUAGCACUUUCGCAGAGGCGAUCUCCUUAUUCCUCAACUUUCAAACUUGCCUAUCAAGAAUGGCAACCGGAAUCUCUUCAUAGGUCAAUUCUUCAUUAACUUCAAUGUCCUCCACCAGAAUAUUGCGCAACGGGUUUUCAACUACCUUUUUCAACAUGGACACAAGAAAUAUCGGGUGCACUAAGAACAUCUCUUGAGGUAGCUCGAGCCUAUAAGGCUACUUGUCCAACCUUCUGUAGGAUUCUGUACGGUCUAAUGUACUUUGGAUUCAAUUUCCCUUUCUUCCCAAAUCACAUUAUACCCUUCAUGGGGGAAACUUUCAAGAAUACCCAAUCAUCCUCUUGGAACUCCAAAUUCCUCUGACACACAUCUGAGUAGGACUUCUGGCCACUCUGAGCGGUUUUCAACCUCUCCUUAAUGAUCUUGAACUUUUCUAUAGCCCGAUGCACGAGGUCUAGACCUAUACAUUCUGCUUCUCCAGCUUUAAACCAACCAAUGGGAGAUCUACAUCUCCUACCAUAUAGAGCCUUGAAUGGUGCGAUCUGAAUGCUGGCGUGAUAACUAUUGUUGUAGGCAAAUUCUAUGAGCGAAAAAUGAUCAUCCCAGCUACUUCGAAGUCAAGAACACAUGCACGCAACGCAGUGACAUGCAACUUGACUAUUUCCAUGAGGUACAACUGAGCAGUGUGUUAUGCUGUGUCGGUGGCCUUAACAGGUAAGAAGUGUGCUAAUCUCGUGAGUCCAAUCACCCAAAUCGAAUCAAACUUACGAGGCAUGUGAGGUAGACCUACCACAAAGUCCAUAUUAAUCAUCUCCCACUUCCACAUUAGAAUCUCUAUAUUCUGUGCCAAGCCAUCGGGCGUUGGUGCUCGGCCUUCACUUUCUCACAGUUUGGGCAUCUUUCCACAAAGUCAUCUACAUCCCUCUUCAUGUCAUUCCACCAGUAGACAUCCUUGUGAUCGUGGUACAUUUUCGUAGAGCCUGGGUGCACGAAGUACUUGGAACUGUGAGCCUCGAUCAUGACUCUCUCCUAGAUAUCAUUCACAUAUGGAGCACAUAAUCGCUCUUGGUAACUUAGCAUAUUAUCAUUCAUGCCAAGAGAAAAAGUCGUGGUCUUGUGCCUAUGAAUCCCCUCAUUUAGUUGUACCAAAAAUGGAUCAUCAUAUUGUUUCUCCUUAAUAUGAGUGAUGACUCGGCCCUAUUUUGCAAAAUCACUCCACCCUCACUAGAGUCCGUAAGUCGAACUCCCAAACUAACCAACCGGUGAACCUCCUUGGCCAAAGGCCUUUGGGAUGCCUCCAAAUGAGCCAAACUGCCCAUAGAUUUCCGGCUAAGAGCAUCCGCCAUAAUAGUAGCCUUCCCCCAAUGAUAAUGAAUAUCGAUGUCGUAGUCCUUAAGUAACUUAAUCUAUUUUGUUUGCUAUAGAUUCAACUCCUUCUGCUUAAAGAGGUAUUGAAUAACCUUAUGGUCUGUGAAUAUUUCCACAUGGACCCCAUACAAAUAAUGACGUCAAAUCUUCAAUGCAAACACCAUUGCCGCAAGCUUUAAAAGAUGUGUUGGAUAAUUCUUUACAGGGCUCUUGAGUUUCCUAGAAGCAUAAGCAAUUACAUUGCCAUGUUGCAUUAAUACACAUCCAAGUCCAACCCUUGAAGCAUCACAAUGCACAAUAAACCCAUGUGUACCCUCCGGUAAGGUCAACACUGGUGUUGUAGUCAACUUUGACUUUGACUCUUGAAAAUCCUUUCCAAAAGCAUCUGACCAUUGAAAUUUAGCUAUCUUCUGCGUCAAUUUAGUCAAUGUAGAGGUAAGAGAAGAAAACCCCUCCAUGAACCUUCUAUAGUACCUAGCUAAGCCCAAGAAACUGCGAAUCUCUAUCAGAUUUGUAGGUCUAGGCCAGUUCUUCACAACUGCAAUCUUCUAAGGAUUGACCUUGAUUAUCUCGCUGGAAAUAACAUGUCCUAAGAAAGUGAUAGACUCAAGAAAAAAUUUACAUUUCAAAAACUUUGCAUACAACUUAUGCUAAUUAGGGUCUGCAAAACUGCUCUGAGAUGGUUGACAUGGUCCUCUCGAUUUCGUGAAUAUACAAGGAUGUCAUCAAUGAACACUAUCACAAAAUAGUCGAGGAAAGGCCUGAAGACUCGAUUUGUAAGAUCCAUUAAAGCUGCUGGGUCAUUUGUUAGCCCAAAAGAUAUCACCAAAAAUUCAAAGUGCACAUACCGAGUCUUGAAAGCUACUUUUCGGAAUGUCCUGCUUCCUAAUCAUCAAUUGGUGAUACCCCCAAUCUUAAGACAAUCUUGGAGAAGUACUUAUCACCUUGCAACUGAUCAAAAAAGUCAUUUAUCCUUGGCAAUGGGCAUUUGUUCUUGAUUGUAACAUUGUUCAUAUGUCGAUAGUCAAUACAUAUUCUCACUGACCUGUCUUUCUUCCUUACAAAGAGAACCUGUGCGCCCCAAGGUGACACACUCAGUCGGAUGAAACCCUUCUCUAGCAAAUCCUUCAACUGCUCCUUCAGUUCCUUCAAUUUUGCUGGAGCCAUUCGAAAGGGUGGAAUAGAUAAAGGUUGCGUGCCUAGCAUCACAUCGAUCCCAAAAUCAAUCUCCCUGUUUGGUGGGAUGCCAGGAAGCUCAUCAGGAAAGACCUCUGGAAAUUCAUUCUCAACUGGCACAGACUCAUGUCCAUGACUCGGACCAAGUAGUAGAUACACCUCUUGCUGAUCAUCUUUGCGGACUUAAGGUAUGAAAUAAACCUACCCUUGGGCCCAACAUUAUCCCUUUUCCACUCGAUGACUGACUCGUUUGGAAAUUAAAACCUAACGGUUCUGGUUCGGCAAUCAAGCUUGGUAUAAAAUGAGUUAAGUUAGUCCAUACCCAUUAUCAUAUCAAAAGCCAAUUCAAUGAGAUUGGUCGUGGUGUCUCGACCAUGAAUUGAGACAAUACAAUCCCUAUAAAACCACAUAGCCACAAUAAACUCACCAAUUGGUGUAGAUACAUAAAACAACUCAAAAAGUUGUUUCGGUUCUAUUCUGAAUUCCAUAGCAAUAUAAGGAGUGAUAUAUGACAAGGUGGAACCAAGAUCUAUAAGAGUAUACACGUCAUGAGAUUGGAUAGUUAGUAUACCUGUGAAAGCAUCUGGAGAAGUCUCUGAACUCUGGAAACUCCUUAUAGAAUAGAACCUGCUAGGUCCUCCCGAACUCUGUGCACCACCCCUAGUUGCACCACACGUUGUGGGUGCUGGAGUACCUCGAGCUAGAGGAGGUGUCAUGGAUGUAGUAGCUAUAGAACUAGCUGGGUAUGCCAUACUUUUACCAACACUCUGACGGGACAAAUGACAAUCCCUCUAAAUGUGAACUCUAAGACCGCGCCCGUAGCAUAUGGGUAGGUCCACAUAGCAGACCCCUGAAUGCAUCAUCCCACACCAAGGGCAUGGGGGGCCUCUGCUACGGCUGAAAUAUCACGCUAGACUAACCCUGCUGAUAGGAUCCCCUAUUGCCUUGACUAGGCCUGAAACGACUCCAAUGUUGCUGACUGGACCUUGAUAGUGGGGCACUGGCUGAAGACUGAGCAAAAAAAUUUGUCGGUCUAGAUGAUCCUCCCCUAAAUACUGACCUUCCACCACUACCACCAUUGGAAGAACCUCCAAAGUUGCCUGCGAAUCGGGCCUUCUUUUUACCCUCUUGCUCCAUUAUGACCUUCAAUUUUUGGGUCUCAGUGGCUUGAGAAAAUGCCACCAUCUUCCAAUAGUUCAUAUCAGAAUUCAAGGCAACUGUAGCAGCCUCAUUAAUAACCAAAGGGCUAAGACCCUAGAAAAACUUGUGAACCCUAGCCUCCAUAGUGGGCAUCAUGUAAGCAGCAUCCUUGGAAAGAUCCGUGAAUCUCAAAUGGUAGUCCCAUACACUGAUACUACCUUACUUCAAGUUCUCAAACUCGGCAGCAUGGUCUUCGUGAGUCUCAGCAGGCAAGAAAUGAUCAAUGAAAGAGUCCUAAACUCACUCCACUUUGUCGGAGGACUCCCUACCUCAUGCGACUCCUCCCACAACUCAAACCAAGAAUACACCACUUCUUUCAGGUGAUAGGAAGCCAAUUCCACCAAUUCUGUCUCAUUGGCACGCAUCACACGAAGAGUCUUAUGCAUAUAAUUGAUAAAUGCUUGGGGACUCUCUUCGGGCUUAGUACCCGUGAAUACCAGAUUAUCCAACUAAAGAAAUUUGUUCUCCCUAGAACCAGCAGAAUCCUAUUGGUGAUUGGAAGAAGUAGCUGUAGCAUUCAAUCUAUGGGCUUGGGUAGCAGCUAUCUGGGUCAACAUCUGUAUAGCUCCCUAAGGUCCCCAUCAGAAAUACUAGGAUUGGAAAUUGAGGCUGGAGGUGGGACUGAGAUAUCAGUGUGAGGAGGAAUCAUUGUAUUCUCGGCAGAAGUAGGAAUUGGUGUAUUCUCAACAGGAGUAGUAGGAUCAUUAGGCGUUGUGGUUGGGGGAAUGUCUUCACCCCUCAGGUGCUUACCCGUAACAUCGGGUAUAGAAUCACCAGCCACUCCUUGGGUGGAAUUGGCCGUUUCGCCACUCCUUAGGUGGAAUUGGCCGUUUCGCCACUCCUUGACCUCUUCUUAGGUGCCAUGUACUGAAAAUUAGAACAAUGCACGAGUUAAAAGGGGACAAUCUUAUAAUCAACUCUAUCACACCGUCUAGAAUACCAAAGAAGGGUAACAUUCCUAAAUGCCCAAGUAGCCUCAUAAUUAUAGAUGUGGUCGACAACACACCGAUAAGAAGGUCUCUACUAGACACGGCUCGAAGACAUCCUAGGACAUUUUAAAACCUUAGGCUCUUAUACCAAACGUAUCACGCCCCGACCUUGAGGAGCGGGACCGACACUCGACUGAGUUACCCCAUUCAAGAAAGCCUACUUAGCGCCUACUUUUCAAUUCUAACCAUGAAUAACUUGAGGAUAAAUAUAAAGAGUUAAACCAAUCAAGAGAAUAGUAUGUACAACACCAACUUUCGUUUUUAUAAGAGCUUCAUUUUCUGAUUACCAAAAUAUUACACAUUUAUGGUAUUGAAGUGGAACAUUCGACAAAUACAACAAAAUCAUUAGUUUGUGAUCUCAAGUCAAAACACAACCCAGAAUACGUCUACGGAACCUCUAAGUGAAAAUGGUACAAUAUGGGAAUGCCGACAACUAGGCCCUGGCUAUUUCUCAAAACACAAUUUGCAAAAUAAAAGGACAUAAGGCCCUGAAGUAGAAUAAGGCUCACCAAAUCAGCUGAGAAGAGGGUACACCUAUCAAGAACCUAAGCCACCAAUUACGGAACCACCUGCAUCCAUUAAAGAUGUAGCGCCCCCGACAAAAGGGAUAUUAGUAUAUAUGGAAUAGUACUAGUAUGUAAAGAUAAUUACCCUCAUAUAAAAUGGAACAAGAAACAUAAGUUGGGAAAACAUGAAAGAGUAGCAAAUGAAUACAAGUGUAAAUGGAUACAAGUGUGUCGUAAUAUAAAACACAGUGUGAGUGAAACCUUCAAACAUACCUUUUGAAUUUAGUUUGGGAAAUCAUUAGCUACCAACACAAACUAUCAUGCUCAUGGCAUGGAGUCUGAUCAUCGCUCGACCGACUAAGUCAUCUCACCAUGAUGUAUAUAUGGAUCAACAUGGUAAGGUGAAUCCAAUAUAAUAUCAAGAAUGACUACCCACCAAGCUCAUGGCAUGGAGUCUGAUCACCCCUAGACCGACUAAUCCAUCACACCCAGAUCCAUAAGGGUUGACAUAACAACACAAUACCAUUAUAUACGCGGCAUAGCAUCCGAUCAUUGCUUGAUCGACUAAGACAUCUCACCACGAUGUUGUGUGGAUCAACAUGGGAGCUUAGACUGAUGCUAGUAAUAAAUUCAUCCCAAUUAAGGGGAAUAAUCUCAACACAAUAUUACAGGGAAUUACCCCUCAAUCAAUUCCUACACUGGCAUUUCAGUUGUAGGCCUAUAUAACCUAUACCUUCUCGGUUAUGUAAUGAUACUCUCAAAAACAAUAUUAUAUAAAUAAAAUACUCAUCUCAUAUCCCUUUAGAAAGUCCUUUCAUUUCCUUCGUACUUUUGGCCACACAUUUAACAUGAUGGCCGCAUUUUAUAUUCCAUACUUUCAUUCUUUUACUUUUGAGGAUCGCUAUAAAAUACCAAUACGUAGAACAUUUGGAAAUCAUUGCUUCAAAAGUAUGCGUAAAAAUAGCCUUAAGCGGAAUGAAUUUCUCCCAAAAGGAGAGCAUAGUUAUUUGCAAUUGAAGCAUGGGUUUAAAUCAUAUCAUUUGAUGUGUCAAUCAUGCUUGAAACAUUUUUAGUAAGAAUAGAAUGGCAAUAGAAAAUAGGGAAUGUGUAGAUCUUUAUGAGCAUUUAGUAAUUCAAUCUUUUUAAUGCACCUCAGUCAUGAUGAUUCAUGGUAUAAAAAUCAUUACUUCAUUUUCAUGUGCAUAUGACUAUCAAAAGAAAUUGCUAAACAUUUCCAAGGAAGGGAGCAUGGCAUUGGCUAUCAAGACAUAUACAGAAAUCUCAUGAACACUUGGAAUACAACCAUCGGAAGCAAUCCGUAAUAAUGGAAAUAGGAACUAGGACAACCAUGCUUGGAAUUCAUGCGGGAAUCAGGGAAUCUGAUUCUAUAGAAAGAGUUUAGGCAGCAUACAUUGAUGGAGCUCUUUAGUGAUACUAAGACCACCCACUACUCUUACAACUUAAAUAUACAUCAACAUAAUUCAAUUGGACCGAUUUUAGUAAAAAUUUCUAGGUUUUAGGUUAUUUUGGCAUUUUAUCAAACACCUAGAAUGCAUAGCAUUGUACUACCCCUAGUAAUGGUGUUUCUUCAUCCAACAAUCCCUCCUUCCCACCAACAAGAGAUACUACAACAUCCUCUGUUCACCAACUAGCUUAUUUAGCACCAUUAUAAUCAACAAUGAACUCACAUCCACCAAAUUUUACUAAUUAACUCAUUACAAAAUUUCUACAACAUCCAAUUAUCUAGGUUAAGCCCUUGUGGCUUCCAAUCACCAGCCCAUAAGUGCUAAUACUUAUUUCUUGCUCAUAAUUCAUUAAAUAUUCAUGCAUGUAGGUUUAAGGGUAAAAUAUUACCUCUUGUAGAUCAAAUCUUGAAAGCCAACUUUUGGGGUGUUCUUGAGAUUUUGAAGAAAUCCUAUAGAAUUCAACAAAAAACCUUGUUGUAACUAGUGAUUGAGAAGUGAAAUCAUCAUAAAAACACACUUAAAAACUCACCUUAACUGUGCAUUGCUGCAUAUGGCGGGAGCUAGCAUUGAAUAUGUACUCGUUGUCCUGACAUGGCUACCACUUGUUCUUGGUAGUUUUAGAUUUGAGUUCUAUUUUUGUAUUUUCAAAUAGAUGUGAUAAUUAUGCUUCAUACCAGCUUUGUAAAUUCUAAGUCUUAGAAGCUCAUGAUCUGUAUUACAAAUCCUUGUAAUUUAAAGUUUAGUUAUUUUAUUCUUUGGCUCCUAUGUUUCUUAUUUGAGGUGUGUAUAAUUGGCUUACCUAGCAGGUUGGGUUAAGUGCCAUCACAGCUAACCAGAUUGUGGGUUGUGUCAUAUGUCUUGUUGACGAGUUCAGAAUCUGGAAGGUUUAGUGAUUGCAUAGUAGUGUGGCCAUGAAAGGGCAUAGAGAGAUGCUAGUUUGAGACCAAUCAGGUUGGUUAUCUCCUACGGGAUGUUCUGAGGUUGUCUUAUUCUUAUGAUAAUUAUAUGGAGAUUUUCUUUCUAUUGGUGGGUUACAAGUGUUGCAAUUUGAGUUUGGAUCACUUGAGGAAAUUGGUUUGACUAUCAUGACGAUGAAUGUGAGCUUAGCAGAUGAAUUGAGGUAUUUUACGAUUUGUGUUACAUCAAAUUAUGAAGGAUUUAGUUGAAUUACAGUGCGAGAUUAUGGCAGUUAUAGAGUAAGGGUAUUGUGGGUUAUCAAAUAUUUUGUUCUACGGCUUCGAACCAAGUGGGGGAGUCCACUUUCGAUGAUUUGAUUGCAUGGUUAUGUGUUAUAGUAAUUUUGGUCUGAGGCAUACUUGUGAAUUGGUUAUGACUUGAAGACGUUGAUUUCGAGGAUGACUCGAGUAAGGAAAAUUCUAGAUGCAUGAUGUGUUACACUUUAUGGAUAUAUGGAAAUCUUGAAAUGAUUUGAGUUUGUUAUUUCUGAUGGAUGUAAUAUGUUAAUAAAAGGGAGCCACUAGAUUGCGUUAAGGUGAGGAUUACUUAUUUAGGUUUUGGCGUGCUAACGGAGCACAUAUCAUUCGGCUCGUUUUGGUGGUGCAUUAGAGAUUAGUGUAGAGUGGAUAACUCUCGAGAAAGUUCUAAUGGGUUCAUGAUUCAUAUGUGGUAUAUGAGGAAUUUAUGGAUUUGUAAAGGAUUAGAUAUAAUAUUUGUUUUGGAUGGUGUCAGGACCCGCGGUAUGUCCUUAUCACUAUGGAUCCCACAUUUCAGUAUCAGAGAGGUUAAAAAACAACUUUAGAUUUGCGGAAGGUCUUUUUAGGGUGUGUAUCUUGGUUGCGGUAUUCUUUGGCGUCUAAGGUGGAAUAUACUGGCUUAUGGAUCUUGAGACAACGUGAUAUCAUGCUAGGAUAACUAGUAGUGAACUUUGGAUUAUGAAUCGAAGUAUACUAGCAAGGAGAAGUGUUAACUUAAUGGCAAGUCGAGGGGACUCGAAGAAAUAGGACAGUUUGGUGGUAGAUCAGAUCAGUAUUGUGAUAGAAAUGAUCAAUUCUUUUGGUUCUUAUGAUAUGGUGAGGCUUUAUCGGUGUUUUGUUGCAUUACUCUUGGGGGUGGCGACUUGCGUGACUUAGCUGAGUUAGAAGGAUUCAGUUCUGAUGGAUUGGUUAUGUGAAAACAAGUUUCGAAGAGUUCUCGUUGGUGUCGACCAAGGUUUGGGGCAAAUGUAUUUGACAGGGAUGAUGAGUAUAUUGGAUGUUGUAAUUUUUCUCUCAGAUGUGGGGCCUAGUGGUAAAUUUCUAGCUGAUUGAGUAUGUAUCCUGCAUGUGAAUUAGAGUUGAUUAUGGGAUUCUUGUGUUUUCAUAUGAUGGAAUGAUAGAUGAGGUGUGCAUCGUAUGAGAUUGAGGUUUGUAUGUACAAUGUUGCGGUUCAACUUUGAAGGGAAAUCCAUGAAUUUUAGAUAACACAAACAGUUUUAGAUGUUAAGAAGAAUGUUAGUACUAAUUGGUAUCACCUAAGGAGGGUGCGCAUUUUAGUGGACGUAUCGUGUUGGGCUUGCAGAUGCUUGACUAGUAUUACGGUAAUCACCUGGUUUCUCAACUAUAGAUGUUCAGAUUUUGCUAUAUGGCACGGAAGAAUUAUGGAUGUAUUUCUCGCAGGAUGAUUGAGUAUGAGAGAUGAGUUAGUCAUUCGAGUGGUGGAGAUGGGAUCGAAUAUGGUAAUUCUUGUAUUCUAGGGAUUUGGAGACUUGGAGGGUUCUCAGAGGCAGAUUAUUCUUUGGUUGUGAACCGUGAAGGUAUGGCAAAAGUUAGACAACUAGUAGUAUGUGUAAUGGUUAGGUUAUUAUGGACUUUUGAAGGAUUAUUUAUUUAUUUAUGGAUGGUCAGAGUUGAUUUGGGGGCCCAUUAGUAGGCCUAACGAGGAUGUGCAUUCUACAUCGGGUCGAAUUUAUUGACUCAUCAAUUCUAUUUUUGAGUGGUGUGUCAUUCAAUUAGAGUUGAGCUUGUUCAUGUAUUGAUAUGUUCUAUGUAUCACUCUUCUAUGCUAUGAUGGGUUGUGAUCUGUUGGGUAUUUGCACACAUGAUACAUUUCUGUUUGAGCCUUAUGGCAAAAUUCGAGCGAGAUGGUUCUUAAAGUGUUGAAUGGUUGAUUGCGCUUUUGCUAUGGCCUUCGUGCUUGUGGUAUAUUGUUCUAUCUAUUUCUCCAUGAAUAUGAUAAUGAACUUCAUGUGUUUGUUGUUGAUUUUCGUAUGGUUAUUGAUUUUGGGCAUUAUAGCUUGAGGUAUUUCAUGUGGAUUGGUGUUUGGAUAUGGUCACAAGUGCAGCAAAGUUACAUUGGGAUAUGUUCCUUUGUGUUAGAUCCAUGUGUCUUGGUUCUAUUAUGUGUGAUGGGUUCAUAGCAUUACGUUUGUGGUAAUAUAUGUUGAGGUUGCGGGACGGUCCUCUCAUUUGAUUUUCUUUCCAACAUUCGAGUUGUUGCUUGUUUGGAUGUAAGGAUCGCGUGGCAUAUGGCUAUAGAUGGUAUUUGUGUGGCAUGUCAGUUGAGUAUCUUUUACUUGAUAAGAUGAGGUCAUUGGACCUGGAAUGAGUACUAUCGGAUUUGAUUACGGUAUGUUUGGAAGAAUAAUGUUAGUUGUCAGCUUAGAAUUUGGCUAUGGUUCUUGUUGGGCGAGAGAGCUCCAGAACUUGUUGGACUGAUGAGUGGUUAUGAGUAUCUAUGUGUUCCCUUCAUCAUUGGUAGUGUACAAAGGUUCAUAAUAAGUUUUCAAUUGUUAGGAGGAUUAUUAUCGGUACCGGGCUUGUUAAUGGACAGUUAUUAUGCUCGGAAGUUAUUGCUAUGGGUAUAUGGGUUAUGUGGUAUAUCAUGUGAUUAUAUCUUGGGUUAUGAUUAUGUCUUGGUACAGCUUGUUCAGACUUGCGCAGUGUUUGGAUGUGAGAAUUGGGUCUUUAAUGUAUUCCGGAUGUUGGAGAUUUGAUUCUAAGGUUAUGGGCUAAGGUUGAAGUGAGGAUCCUUGUCACACCUCCUUUUUCUACCCCGGAAAGGGGUAUAAAGGAGUUUUUCCAAUUAAAGUGACAAUAAUCGAAAUGGGAUUAUUUAUUAAAAUUCAGAGUCUCCACUUGGGGUAAUUUAUGGUGUCCCAAGUCACCGGUUUAAAAUCCCGAAUCGAGUAAGUUUGACUCUGUUUUACAGUCCGCGAAACAUAGAAAUUCGGGUAAAGAACUCUGUUAACCCGAGAGAAGGUAUUAGGCAUUUUCGGGUUCUGUGGUUUUAGCAUGGUCGUCAACUAUUAUUAAUUGGUUUAAUUAUCUGAUUAAUUACACGUUUAAAACCUAUUGUGUAUUUUUAACCUUUUAAAACCGCUUUUAGUUAUUUAAGGAAUUUGUCAGAACAAGUCGCGAUGUCGCGCACUCGUUUAUUUUGUACACAUUGUAAAUUGCGUUACGGGAACCGUACCCACGAUCUACAACGUAUUUAAUUGUGGAAGGGAUGAUCCCUUGUAAAUUUCAGUCACACAUGAGAAAUAUUCUAAUGAAUUAUCUUUUUUUCUGGUCUUCAGGUUAUAAAUUGUACAUCUCUUAAAAUUUGAAUCAGAAACAUAUUCGUUUUUUCAUAAUCCAAUUUCCAUGAAUCCAAUGACAACUUACACAUACCCUACUUUGGAAUAACCCAUGUCAUAAUUGAAAGCAAAUCACAGUAAAGUUCGAUUUCCAUUUCAGAUAAUUAGUUAUAACUUUAUAAUUAAAGUACUGCUAUUAUUAUGGUGUAUAAACCGAAAUCAAAGCUCAUAUUAAAAUCAAAGGCUCAACUGAGGCAAAGAUUAAACCGAGAGAAAAUGAUCCACAUGAGCUAAUGUUGUAUUUCAACAUCACAUAUAUAUAUAUAUAUCACAAGGAUAAAAUACGAAGAACAGGGGGCAGAGAUGAGAAUAACCUACUCGUGACAAAUUUGGUUGAAUGUGUUCGAACCGCGACUAAACCUCGGAUGAAACUGAAACGGAGCUCCAAACAGCGACCACUCACAACCUUUAAGCUCGCCGAAGAAACUCAACCUUGGUGGUUUACGGAGGAUCCGAGUUCGCUGGUUUUCUGGCGGCUUGGAGAAGAUGACUGAAGGUGUUAGUUAAGGUGGCUUGGGCGGCUGGACUCGUUGGUGGUUGCUGAUGGGUGUGUUCUGGUUGACGAUGAAGAAGGGUCUGUUUUCGCUAAUUUGGUGAAGAAAAUGGGAUUAGCGGCGGAAAGAGGUGGAGAUGG